AGUGCCAUAGCUCAGAGGUAGAGCAUUUGUUUUGCAUGCAGAAGAUCCUAGGUUCAAUCCCUGCUACCACUA